UACGAAGGGGGCUAGCGUUGUUCGGAAUUACUGGGCGUAAAGCGCGCGCAGGCGGUCUUCCAAGUCAGUGGUGAAAGCCCGGAGCUCAACUCCGGAACUGCCAUUGAAACUGUUGGACUUGAGUAUGAGAGAGGUGAGUGGAAUUCCCAGUGUAGAGGUGAAAUUCGUAGAUAUUGGGAAGAACACCAGUGGCGAAGGCGGCUCACUGGCCCGGUACUGACGCUGAUAUACGAAAGCGUGGGGAGCAAACAGG
rnacentral:rRNA from 1 species